AAGUCGAGCGAGAACCUGGGACUUCGGUCCUUGGGGACAGCGGCGAACGGGUGCGUAACACGUGGGUAAUCUGCCCUCGGCACCGGGAUAGCCCGGGGAAACCCGGAUUAAUACCGGAUGGCCUUUCGAGCUCGCGAGCUCGAAAGAAAAGGUAGCUUCGGCCUCCGGCCGAGGAUGAGCCCGCGGCGGAUUAGCUUGUUGGUGGGGUAAUGGCUCACCAAGGCAACGAUCCGUAGCUGGUCUGAGAGGACGAUCAGCCUCACUGGGACUGAGACACGGCCCAGACUCCUACGGGAGGCAGCAGUGGGGAAUCUUGCGCAAUGGGCGAAAGCCUGACGCAGCGACGCCGCGUGAGGGAAGAAGGCCUUCGGGUUGUAAACCUCUUUCAGGAGGGACGAAGCCACUCGGGUUAAUAGCCCAGAGGGUGACGGUACCUCCAGAAGAAGCCCCGGCUAACUACGUGCCAGCAGCCGCGGUAAUACGUAGGGGGCAAGCGUUGUCCGGAUUUAUUGGGCGUAAAGAGCGUGUAGGCGGCCAGGCAGGUCCGUUGUGAAAACUGAAGGCUCAACCUUCAGAGGUCGAUGGAAACCGCUUGGCUAGAGUCCGGAAGAGGAGAGUGGAAUUCCUGGUGU
rnacentral:rRNA from 1 species